rnacentral:rRNA from 1 species
AGUGAACGCUGGCGGCGUGCCUAAUACAUGCAAGUCGAACGGGGUGGCGCACGGGGGAGUAAUAUAUAGCUAAUCUGCCCCUUGCUGGAGGGCAACAGUUAGCAAAGACUGCUAAUAUUCAAAAGCAAGGGAUGAGACUGUAUCGUAUCAGAUGGUCGGGGGGGUAACGGCCUACCGAGGCGAUGACGCGUAACUGGUCUGCGAGGAAGAGCAGUACCAUUGGAACUGAGACACCGUCCAAGCUCCUACGGGAGGCAGCAGUAGGGUAUAUUGCGGAAUGGGGGUGACCCUGACGCAGCAACGCCGCGUGGAGGAUGACACUUAUCGGAGCGUAACCGCCUGUUGUUAGGGAAGCGGUACCUAACGAAUAAGCACCGGCUAACUCCGUGCCAGCAGCCGCGGUAAUAC